UCAUUUGUGGUUCAGUGGUAGAAUUCUUGCCUUCCAUGUGAGAGACCAGAGUUAAAUUCCCUGCCAAUGUA
rnacentral:tRNA from 1 species